rnacentral:rRNA from 1 species
AUUGAACGCUGGCGGCGUGCCUAACACAUGCAAGUCGAGCGGUAACAGGUGUAGCAAUACAUGCUGACGAGCGGCGGACGGGUGAGUAACGCUUGGGAAUCUGCCUAUUAGUGGGGGACGAACCCGGGGAAACGUCGGGCGUAAUACCGCAUACGCACUACGGUGGAAAGACCGGGGACCGGCAAGGCCUGGCGCUAACAGAUGAGCCCAAGUCGGAUUAGCUAGUUGGUAGGGUAACGGCCACCAAGGCGACGAUCCGUAACUGGUCUGAGAGGACGACCAGUCACACCGGAACUGAGACACGGUCCGGACUCCUACGGGA